UACAGAGACUGCAAGCGUUAUUCGGAUUCACUGGGCGUAAAGGGUGCGCAGGCGGCCAAGUGUGUUAGAUGUGAAAUCCCGGGGCUCAACCCCGGAACUGCGUCUAAAACUACUUGGCUAGAGCAUUGGAGAGGGUAGCGGAAUUCACGGUGUAGCAGUGAAAUGCGUAGAUAUCGUGAGGAACACCAGAGGCGAAGGCGGCUACCUGGACAAUUGCUGACGCUCAGGCACGAAAGCGUGGGGAGCAAAAGGG
rnacentral:rRNA from 1 species